GGCCCGGUGGCAACUGGUUGACCGCUCGAACUUAAAAUUCGGGGACGCUGCGGGUUCGAAUCCCGUCUGGGCCACUA
rnacentral:tRNA from 2 species